rnacentral:lncRNA from 1 species
AUUGAGACCAUCCUGGCUAACACGGUGAAACCCCGUCUCUACUAAAAAUACAAAAAAAUUAGCCGGGCGUGGCGGCGGGCGCCUGUAGUCCCAGCUACUUGGGAGGCUGAGGCAGGAGAAUGGUGCGAACCCGGGAGGCAGAUUUUGCAGAGAGCCGAGAUCGUGCCACUGCACUCCAGCCUGGGCGACAGAGCAAGACUCCGUCUCAAAACAAAAAACAAACAAACAAAUAUGGAGCAUUCUGAUAUGAAUAAGACACUUGCUCACUUCUCAAUUCCUUGGUGUCCAGCUCUACAAGUGUAUAUAGACUUCCAAAGAAUAUUUAAAUCCUUUAACAAAAAUGCCACCUAAGAAAAUAUGAAAUACUUCAGUCUGUCUGUCAGUGCUCACUUCCUGUCUAGAAACUUUCAGGCUCCGGCACAAAUGAACCAUGUUCUUCGCCUAAGUCAUUUAUGGAACAUCUGCUUUCGGUUUAGCAUCAGCUUUGUGACCUAGUAAUAUCUUUCUCGAGUGCAUGAAACAUCUCAGAAAUGCAAACAUCAAGGAAGAUACUAAUCCUUUCUUCCAGUUUCUGUGUGAGGGUUGGAGGCUGACUUUGGUGGUGAUCUUGCUCCAAAUUAUAGAACUACAUCCUGUCAUGAAGAGAAGUUUGUCUUCUCGAUAAAGCCAAGUAGCUAACAGAGAUGGUCACCCCAAUUACCAGAUGGACAUAAUUAUACUUGAAUGCUGACCUACAACAUUUUGUGCUGUGCAGAGGCUUUGAAAAUCAAACAACUUUGAAAAUACAAAGCACCGCGUGGAUGUAAGUUUAUUAAAUUUUGUUUUCAUCAACAUUCAAUUGAGGGUAUCACUUCAGAAACAUUAUAAGAUUUAUUAUUAUCAAUGCUUAGAAUAGCAUGAAUAUACUGGAGAGAUUUAUAUAUGAUAAGUUUAGCACACUAUGUUUACAACAUACCCAAAAAAAGCACACUUGUUAGCACUUCAAUUUAACAUGAAUGGAAUUUGCAUGAAUAGAUCGGGGGAAGCAUUGAGUCCCUAGUAGCAGAGAAAUACCAGGAAAAAUACUAGUGAUUUUGAGCAGCAAAAGGGCUUUGCCUGAAUUAAUAAAUAAGCUAUCUGGUGAUGGUAAUUAUAGCAUUGCUCUCUACCUUUGUAUGACACAAAUAUAUCUGGGAAGAGCAAAUAGACAUGAGUUGGGGAAACAGACUAUUAAUAUAAAGUAUCAUGUAACAGAUCUUAGUUGAAGCAUUGCAUUCACUUUAAAUAGGGCAAGUAGAAAAUUAUGAAUUUUAUAACUCUAAAACCUUUUACUUUGCCCAUUUGCCAAGUCCCAGUUUUCACAUAAAACAUUUUUCUUCUUGUUGAAUUUACUUUCUUCACUUUGUUACGCUUAAACCAGCUUUGAUGAAAACUAUUUCCUAUGAUGUGACAUAGGAGCUCUAGCAGAAGCUUGUUCACUUGUAUGUAAUAUGAGCAUUGCGCCGAGCAAACACCAUUUAGAUACUACCAUUAUUAUAAGGCUCAUUUAGAUACUACCACUAUUAGGCUCAGCAAUCAAACAAACAUUUACCUAGAGUAGAGGCACUAAAAUGCAUAUUCACAAUGGAAAAUUCUCCAUUCGAAUUAACGCACACCUUAAAGACCAAACCUGGCACUGCAUUCUAUAUAUCUAGACUGAGAUAUGUGCCAUUAUCUUUAUGCCUUUCCUGUUGUGUGUUUCCCUAGGGGCACAUUUACCUGUUCUGCAUUCUAUCUUUGUUACUUUUUUUGACCUUUUCUUGCUUUCAUUUUGCUUCUUUUGACUUACAAAUCCCUUUCAAUCUAUAGUAAAUGCAAUGGAUAAAUAGCACAAUUUUAACUUCUCACCCCUUUAUUUUAAAUACACCCUUUCUGCAAACUGUGGUAGUAUUUAUAGCAACACACCAAUAUUCUACUUUUCUAGGAGAUGGCAGUCAAUACUUUUGAAAUUUUUAAUCUUUUCCCAUUCUACACAAAGGAAAACUACUUUGUUUUCCAUUGAGUAGGAAAAAUUCAAAUGAUAAGCAUGUAUAUACAAACUUCUAAGACACUGAAAUCUCAUUUACUGUUAAAAAUGGGGGUGUGGUGUUAAUCAUUUGUAUUAAUCGAGACUAUUGAAACAUUUUAACUAUUAUAUGUGUAAAGGUUUCUUUGAUUUCUAAAGAAAUGCAUUUCUAAAAGUCUUAUGCUGUAAGGAUGCUGGAUGCGUAGUUUGACCAAUUAUGGCUCUUGAUGUCGACUGAAGUGGUCACUUGAUUCCUAUUAGCGUAAGUAUCUGUCUGUAAAGACACUUUGUAAAGGAAAGCCUUAAUUUGAAAACAACAACACAAUAAUGAUGAAUAUCUGUCUAAUAUAGAAAUCUGCACAUCAGAAAAAAAAAGCUAUAUAUGUAUCUGUUGAUUUAGGAGGAUCUUAUAAAAUGAACCACUUAAUUCCAAUUGUAUUCCAAUUCCUUCUUCCCUAAGAGAAUGUUGAAAACAUGACACUUACUGGUAAGUGACAGGUCUCCUCUCUGUCUUGGUUUAGAUUCUAUGCUUUUCAUACAAGAGCUGAAGCAUUCCUCAUCUGGAGAAACAGGAUCUCUUGUGAUGAGGCUUUUUUGUAUCACAGAUCAUAUUUCACACUUCUUGUUUGUCAAAUCUUUUUCACAGUUUAUAAUGCUCAAGCUUUAUAUUUUUAAAAAUAUUAUGAGCACUUCUUACUUGACUUUUUUUUCAGUUGGAAAGACAUUUUAAUCUUUCCUUUUUUUUUUUUUUUUUUUUUUUGAGACGAAGUCUCGCUCUGUCACCCAGGCUGGAAUGAAGUGGUGCAAUCUCAGCUCACUGCAGCCUCCGCAUCCUGGGCUCAAGUGAUUCUCCCGCCUCAGCCUCCCGAGUAGCUGGGACUACAGGCAUGCGCCACCAGGCUGAGCUAAUUUUUGUAUUUUUAGUAGAGACGGGGUUUCACCAUGUUGGCCAGGAUGGUCUCAAUAUUUUGACCUUGUGAUCCGCCUCUCUCAGGAUCCCAAAGUGCUGACAUUAUAGGCGUCAGCCGCUGCGCACUGCCAGAAAGACAUAUCUACAUACUGCUUCCUCUCUCGUCAUGGUGAGCAAACCGCAGGCAGGAAGUCAGAGUUUGACGUUGCUCCUCCUGAGGAGGGGAGAGCUGGAGUUCAGGAAGCCUCUUUAUAUCUAAUGCUGCUUUCUGAUUCUGUGCCUUGGUAUUAGGAACUUGAUUCAGCCCAAUAUAUAUUAUUUAAUAGCAAUUCUAUUUGGUCUCCAUAUGACAAUGACUUUGCUUUAUAUCUCAACUAGUUCAGUGUUUGGGUUUAAUUAUUGUCAGAGGCAAUAUCAUGAGUACACCCUAAAGGUACUGGCUCAAUACAUUUGCUGCAUUCCCAUUUAAUACAACAUGCUCGAAAAGUGCUUACUGCCAGUUACUUAAUACAAGUAAUAUACAAUCUAAUAUUUUACAGUCCAAAAAAAUUGUUUAACUCCUCUUAAUUUCAUUUAUGGGGGACCCAUUCUGUUUAGAUUACUGUGUAAAUAAUUUGAUAAUAAGUCAACAAAUUUUUAGCUUUGGUUUUGUUUUUAUUUUGAGACAGGGCCUCACUCUGUCGCUCAGGCUGGAGUGGCACGAUCUUGGCUCACUGCAGUCUCUGCCUCCUCCUCUUGGAUGCAAGCAAUUCGGCCUCCAAGUAGCUGAGAUUACAGGUGCGUGCCACCACACUCUGCUAAUUUCUGCAUUUUUAGUAGAGAUGGGGUUUCACCAUGUUGGCCAGACUGGUCUCCAACUCCUGGCCUCAAGUGAUCCACUUGCCUCAGCCACCCAAAGUUCUGGAUUACAGGCGUGAGCCAUUGCGCCUGGCCUAGUAAACAUAUUUUUUUUAAAUAAAAAUGUUAUUUUAUCAUUUACAUAAGAUCAAAAACAUGUCUAUUGGAUUCCACCGCCCAGAUCCUUACACUGUACAUUCUAUUUUGCCUCAAAUUUGACUCUCUUCACUUGCUUUUAAGCUCUGGAUGAGUUUGAUUCCAACUAGUUCAAAAGAAAAAUGGAGCAUCCCAAAAGAACAUAAAACUAAUAAAAAUCAACUUGUUUAUGAAUCUAAAAUGAUAAAAAGCAAUACAUUUAAAAUAAAG